AUGUCCGUGCAGGACGCUGUUUACUCGACGAUAACUAUCAUACGAGCUAGACUUGUCUUGCUUCGGAACACCGAAUUUUGCUAUAUGCCAGCAUCACUCCCUGGGGCAGAAGGUUACCAUCAGGCUCUCUACAUUAACUCCUUCCAUGAGGAUUCGCUACUCCGCACCACCACAAAGAUGCUUGAGGACAAGGACCGUGAGAAUCGUGCCUUGCGAUUGGAACUCUUCAACACUCAAGUUGACCAUUGGGCCACCCUAACAUGGUUUGCACCCGCCGUGCAGGCUGGCUAUAUGGACAUGAGGGAUUUGUACCCUGUGCAGUCUGGUCUGCCAGAUCGUAUGGACUGGCGUGAUGUAGGAGGCAUCACCCCUCCUCGUGGACCCCGUCUACCAUCGUUUGUUGGACCCAGACCACAUCCGAGUCCUUAUGGACCGCAAGCUUCACAGAAUCGACUGUUUUUAGAUGAUCACGUCUAG
rnacentral:rRNA from 1 species